AAUCGACCGCCUGGGGAGUACGGCCGCAAGGUUAAAACUCAAAUGAAUUGACGGGGGCCCGCACAAGCGGUGGAGCAUGUGGUUUAAUUCGAUGCAACGCGAAGAACCUUACCUGGUCUUGACAUCCACAGAACUUUCCAGAGAUGGAUUGGUGCCUUCGGGAACUGUGAGACAGGUGCUGCAUGGCUGUCGUCAGCUCGUGUUGUGAAAUGUUGGGUUAAGUCCCGCAACGAGCGCAACCCUUAUCCUUUGUUGCCAGCGGUUCGGCCGGGAACUCAAAGGAGACUGCCAGUGAUAAACUGGAGGAAGGUGGGGAUGACGUCAAGUCAUCAUGGCCCUUACGACCAGGGCUACACACGUGCUACAAUGGCAUAUACAAAGAGAAGCGACCUCGCGAGAGCAAGCGGACCUCAUAAAGUAUGUCGUAGUCCGGAUUGGAGUCUGCAACUCGACUCCAUGAAGUCGGAAUCGCUAGUAAUCGUAGAUCAGAAUGCUACGGUGAAUACGUUCCCGGGCCUUGUACACACCGCCCGUCACACCAUGGGAGUGGGUUGCAAAAGAAGUAGGUAGCUUAACCUUCGGGAGGGCGCUUACCACUUUGUGAUUCAUGACUGGGGUGAAGUCGUAACAAGGUAACCGUAGGGGAACCUGCGGUUG
rnacentral:rRNA from 1 species